rnacentral:rRNA from 1 species
AGUGGCGGACGGGUGAGUAACACGUAAGAAUUUGCCUUUAGGAGGGGGACAACAACUAGAAAUGGUUGCUAAUACCCCAUAUGCUUUCGAGUGAAAUGGAUUUUUCCGCCUAGAGAGAAGCUUGCGGCUGAUUAGCUUGUUGGUGAGGUAAUGGCUCACCAAGGCGACGAUCAGUAUCUGGUUUGAGAGGACGAUCAGACACACUGGAACUGAGACACGGUCCAGACUCCUACGGGAGGCAGCAGUGGGGAAUUUUCCGCAAUGGGCGAAAGCCUGACGGAGCAAUACCGCGUGAGGGAUGACGGCCUAUGGGUUGUAAACCUCUUUUUUCAGGGAGGAAUCAAUGACGUGUACCUGAAGAAUAAGCAUCGGCUAACUCCGUGCCAGCAGCCGCGGUAAGACGGGGGAUGCAAGUGUUAUCCGGAAUCACUGGGCGUAAAGCGUCUGUAGGUGGUCCAAUAAGUCAACUGUUAAAUCUUGAGGCUCAACCUCAAAAUCGCAGUCGAAACUAUUAGACUAGAGUAUAGUAGGGGUAAAGGGAAUUUCCAGUGGAGCGGUGAAAUGCGUAGAGAUUGGAAAGAACACCGAUGGCGAAGGCACUUUACUGGGCUAUUACUAACACUCAGAGACGAAAGCUAGGGUAGCAAAUGGGAUUAGAUACCCCAGUAGUCCUAGCCGUAAAUAAUGGAUACUAGAUGUU